rnacentral:lncRNA from 1 species
GGCGGAGCUCACACAGUAAUGCUCUGGCAGGGGAGGACACACUCACCUAGCAAACCAUCUGCCAAGAAAAAGGAGGAAAAGCACCAACAUUAAUUUGAACUUAGAAAUAAACUACAAUAAGGCCAGACAUGGUGGUUCACACCUAUAAUUCCAGCACUUCGGGAGGCCAAGGAGGAACGAUCACUUGAGCCCAGCAGUUUGAGACCAGCCUAGGCAACACAGUGAGACCCUGUCCCUACAAUUACAAAAUAAAUGAGCUGGGCGUGGUGGUGCACACCUGUAGCCCCAACUGCUCAGAAGGCUGAGUCGGGAAGAUCACCUGAGCUGCCCAGGAGUUUGAGGCUGCAGUGAGCUGAGACUGCACCACUGCACUGAUCCUGUCUCAAAAAAAAAAAAAAAAAAGAAACUACAACAAAAUAUCUGGAUUUUGAUGUAACAGAAUACAAAGAUAAUUACAUUUGAUUUUUAGGUCAACAAAUAUGACUAAAGUCACAACAGUAAAAUAUUUUAAAUGGAUUUGGAAAUAAAAGAAAGUUUGUUCAUUUAUAUUUUAUUUAAGAGCUGUGCCCAGUUUUAUCUUGUCACAAGAAUGAAGCAAGGGACAAAGUGCCACGCUCCCCGGCCACUGGGUGCCAAUCCCCCUUCAAUGUACUCCUUCUUCCCCAGAGUGCAGAAGCGUAUAAAGACAGUUAUGACAUUGACACAUGCAUGAGCUAUUAUACAUAAUUACAAAAGCUGAUUCUGUCAUCACCGCAUCUUGUCUCAUCAGUAGGAGUGAAUGGCUGGGGGGACAGUGGCACAGUCAGCCUCAUUCAAAGUUUUGUCGAUUAUGGGUCUAUAUUCCACAGUGACCUUGAAAAGAAGUCAGUGGUAAGUUAAGCACAAAAAUGUACAAAAAGCCAUCUCUUGUGUUCCUUUUGAAAAAUUUUAACUAUAAAAGUAGAUUUACGGCAUGUAAACUUUAAGGUAUUUGCUGCAGUAUUUUCCAAUAACAAAUUCAAAAAUGAUCUACAUGCGCAACAGGGGACUGUAAAUGACGGCAGAUCGGUAGAGUGGAACAGAGCAACGAAAAUGACACUGUACCAGAUUCUCAGUGCUUUGCUUUACAAAAAUGCUCCCAUCA